rnacentral:rRNA from 1 species
CCUACGGGAGGCAGCAGUGGGGAAUAUUGCACAAUGGGGGAAACCCUGAUGCAGCAACGCCGCGUGAGUGAAGAAGUAUUUCGGUAUGUAAAGCUCUAUCAGCAGGGAAGAAGAAAGACGGUACCUGACUAAGAAGCCCCGGCUAACUACGUGCCAGCAGCCGCGGUAAUACGUAAGGGGCAAGCGUUAUCCGGAAUUACUGGGUGUAAAGGGAGCGUAGACGGCUGUGCAAGUCUGAAGUGAAAGCCCGUGGCUCAACCGUGGAAUUGCAGUUGAAACUGGAGGCCUUGAGUGCACACAGGGAUGCCGGAAUUCAUGGUGUAGCGGUGAAAUGCUUAGAUAUCAUGAAGAACUCCAGUCGCGAAGGCAAGUGUCCGGGGUGCAACUGACGCUGAGGCUCGAAAGUGCGGGUAUCAAACAGGAUUAGAUACCCGGGUAGUC